rnacentral:lncRNA from 7 species
AUGGAUGAAGACCGAUAUUCGUAUUCUGAAGAAAAUAUUCCUCUGUCAUUACUACCCUGGUUCUGGAAGAAGAAAAGAAAUUCUGUAUCUCCUGCUGAUAAAAGUCAAAGCAAGAUAGAAGCAUGGACAGAAAGUGUUACUCCUUCAAGCUCUUGUACUCCUGAAGAUUUAGUAGGAAGUGAUCCUGAACCUAAACCACAGGCCAUAAUUUACUCAUCAGCUCCUCUACCAGGCAGCAUAAUGAAUUUUUCAGAAGAAAUUCAAGAAAAUCCUUUAUGUGGGAUUAAAAGAGUUAUGAUUGAAGAGACACCUGAGCAGGAUGUGGAGGGAAAUUUUUGGCCGCACAAACUUGGAGUGAGUAUAAACAAGUGGUCACAGCUGAAUUCCCUGACUAAAAUGGGUGAAAACAGAGCUCUAGAAAAAGGUAUAUUUCUAUAGUAUUUAUGUAUUUAUUUACUUUUUUCCUGGAACACAUACUACAUUUACUACAUUACACAAAUGUUGAGGUUACUGCUUUUUUUGUUAUUUUUCUUUCUUUUAUAUGAGCUCAGAUUUCUGAAUUCAACUAAGUAGCUUGAAUUUUUAUGUCACUAUUUUAAGUAUCCUGUCUACAUUCUUUUGUCCUUACACAUCUUUUAGUUAAUUAUUUUACUUAAGUAAGAUGUAUGAUAUUCAAAAUAAUUCUCUAGUAGGAAGUUAAUUGCUGUGCUAAGUCAGUUACAUGAAAACAUUUAAUUAUAUGUUUCUAAUUAAAAAAAAUAUAUAUAUUAAAGGGGCUAGUUUUUAUCAUACUCUGGCCAUAAACUGAAUCUUUCAAAACAACUUGUAAAAAGUAGUUGUGAAAAAGGCAUUGAAGUGCCCUACUCUUAGCUGUGAUAAAAGCUAGUUUUAUUAGGAGGUAGCACUUUUCUACAUCAGUUUUUAUCUAAGUUUUUGUGUGUAGCUUUAGUGUGUAUCAGUAACAUCAGAGCCAUCAUGGACAAUUAACUGUCAAACAAAAUAACUAAGAGCAAUAAUGUCCACAAGUCAAAGUUGACAAAUCAGAGUUGUUAAAACUCUCCUCCCAAAGGCCCAUUUCCUUUGUUAUCAGGCAAAAUAGGUAUAUUUUACAACUAUACUUGCUGUUCCAAGUAAUUGUGCAUUUCAGUUCUUGCUGAUAGAAAUUACUGUUACUUACUUCCAAUUGAAAACUUUUUUUUUUUUUUUUUUUUUUUGUGUGUGUGUGUGUGUGUGUGUGUGUGUGUGUGUGUGUGAUAAAACAGAUCAUCCAAACAUAUCUGGAGUUUGUUCUGAUCUUGACCACAAAGAUACUGAGCUGGAGGAGUGUAAAAUCAAAGAAGAGUUGCCAUAUAUCCCAUACAAACUAGCUACAUUAUAUAUCAUAAAGGUAAAAUAAAAAUAAAAAUUAAAGAAUGAAUAAGUUAUAAUACAAAAAGUUACCAAUUAAACUAAGUUCAUCUAUGCAUAAGAUGUAGUAGAUGCAUUGUUCCUUUCAUAAACAUUUUCAUUAUAGAAAUCCAAUUCACACUAUUUUAUUGCUCAAUAGAUUUUUUCUUCAUAUUAAGAAGUCUGCACUUAAAUUUUGAACACAGAAUUAUGAAUGCUAAAAAGGAAAUGCUAUUGUAGUUAAAAUCAGAUACUGAAUUGCUUAAUUUUGCCUCUAUCAGGUAGGUGUCUAAAGUUAACAAACAAAGUACCACAUCCCUUGAGGACAGAGAAAACCUUUGUCUUCACAUGCUGUAUUUCUCACCAUGACACUUGAUUGCUAGAACUGCCUUUUAAUUUGCAGUAUAAGGUCUUGUUUCAAUUUCAACAUUCCUGGUGUCAUUAGUAGAAAACUCAUUAGUCUGAUGCAGCCUUCUGUUUAUUAUUCAUUAUUAGGUUUUCUUGUCAGCAUCAGUGAAGUAAGAAAGAGAAGCCCAAGCAUAAUCAAAAGGGACUUCAGGGCCUUGGGGCAACUGAUUAAGAGUGCGGAACAUAAGUAAUGUUUUCCUCUAUUUUUCCAGUAGCAGAAAACAAUACUGAAAGGAACAGGCAGACCCUGCUGGUGGCUCUGAAACUGGUGUUACUGCUAAAGCUUUGGGUUUCUUCACCAUGCGAUGGUCUACACAACACCAGGCCCGCUGGAGGCUGUGGAGAUGAACCUUUCUCAGAGGGAGAAAAGGAUUUUACAGUAGGAAUUGGUAGGGCUGAUCAAUAGAGCUUUAAACUAGACAAAGGAGGUGAAGGAUAGGUAGACUAAACUAAGUGAAGGAGGUAGACUAAACAAAGGAGGUGAAAGGAUCCCUAAGCUAUGGGACAACAUUGGAGGGCCUGCACUCUAGUGAGAUCAUUCAGUAUGCUUCACCAGGUACUGGUUACAACGUAAAAUGUUUGCAGUGUUUCUACACCAGUUCACACAGCAUGAGGAACAAGGAAUAGGAGCUAGGACCUUAGGCUCAGUCCUAGAGCUAUGACACCAAUGGCAUGAUCAAAUCCUGUUGGGAAGAGCCCUCUAAGUGGUAUGUUGCAAUGGACAGAUCUGAGCUCUUUCAGCAGGAACAGGUAGGGCAGGUGAGUCAGGGAGUGUAGUGUAUGUGUGGAAAGGGACAGGCUGUGCAGAACUCACAGCUGGCAAUGACACAAUUAGUAGCCUCCAGGUAAGGAUGAAGGGUCAAAUAAAGCAGUCAUUGUAGGAGUCUAUAGGCUACCCAACCAGACACAGACUCUGAGCUUUGAGGAAGUGGUGCUUCAACGUUAAACAACUUUCUUGGUCUCCCUGAUCUUUCAGUGUUCUAACAAAUGGGAUACCUCCUUGAAGAGAUCAAAAUUGGCUUUCCUGAAAGCCAAAGUUGCAAUCCUACUUAUCUACCUAUUUUUUUCAGACAAGAUCCUGAACUCCGCUAUUUCGUGGUUGCUGCAGGCAAGACUGCCACCAGUCUUCACAUUCUCAACCAGUCCUUCUUUGUUAAUUAAAAAAAAAAAAAAGUCCAGUCAAUCUCCCCAUGUUGGCUCCUCCACCAUCUGCUUACAGAUGUUAUAUGCUUACAGAUGUUAUCAUCAGUGCUCUGCAGGCACCUCCUGGACUGUGUGCUUGGCACCAUUUCUUUUCCACAAAUAUCAGGGUGAUUGAAGUCCCUCAUGAGAACCAAUGCCCAGAAUUGUGAGGCUAUAAGGCCUCACCAACCACCAACUUCCCCCUCCUGAUCAGUCAGCCAGUAGUAAACACCCACAGUGGUGUCACCCGUAUUAGCCUGUCCCUUAACUCUCACCUGUAAGAUUUCAUUUUAUCAUUGAUACCCAGGCAGAGCUCAAUACAUUCCUGUUCUUCUAUCACAUAAAGAGAAACUCCAUCACCUUGCCUCUCUGGUGUGUAUUUCCUAAAAAGAACAGAGGCAUCCAUGUCAGCAUUCUAGAUGUGCAAGCUGUCCCAUCAUGUCUCUGUGAUUACAAUGAUAUCGUGGCCCUACAAUCACACACAGAGCUCUAGGUCUUUAUAUUUAUUCCCCAUGCAGUGUACUUUGGUAUAGCAGUGCUUUUAGGUUUCAUUUAGUCAAUUGCUGUCAGAAGAAUCUAUCUUUCAUUAAAAUUCAACCAAGGAUAUCUAUGAGUAGCUCUAGAUUUUUGUACUUUACACACUCAUGUUCAUUAUUGCUGUAAUUCAUGUGGAAAUAUCUGUCAGACUUGCUCAAAAUGCAACACGUAUCAGUGUUAUGUAAUCUUACACUGAACCUGCAGGACAAGGAUGCAAAAAGAAAAGUAGCAGAAACUGGGAUGGGAAAUAGUGGAAUUUUCCUUUUGUGACUAUUAUGAAAUAGAAUGAAUAAAACUGAGUCAAGGAUUUUGAGACAAUUAUAAACUUAAAUGACUCAUUUUUCAAAUGAGAAAAAAACAUCACUUUGCCAGUCCCUUACGUACAUAUCAGUCAGAGAAAUUUCUAUAGUGAUUCUUAAAGUUACAGCAAUUUUGAACUUUUAAAAAUUACCUUAAUGGCAUACCGAGUGCUGCUGAGAGCUGUAUGUCGUCAAUUUGUGUUAUCUAACUCUUAAAUGCAAAAAUGUUAUCUCCACUGUCCACUCUUCUUUUUUAAUUAUUAUUAGGUUUUUUUUUUUUUUUUCCCCAGUAAUAAGUUUCACAAUGCUGUCUUUCUUUUCCAAGAACUUAGAAUAAUUGUAAUUACUGUCUUGUGUUUUCAAUCCAGAUCACUAUUCUAGAAAAACAGAAAUGGACAGGAAGAAAAAAUGCACUUCAAGUGAAUAAACAGACUUAUAUCUAUUAAAUAACAUAACAUAGUUGAAUUGAAUCUAAUUGUUGAGUUGAAUCUAAUUUUUGAAGCCUCUGCAUUUUUGUAUAGAGUAGAGGCUAUUUACAUGCUUUCAAGAUCAGACUUGUCUCUGUAUAGUUCAUGUCAUUUUGAGAAAUGUACAUAAAAAUUGUCUGAUGAUUCAUUAUAAUUGGAGUUAAUUUUCUAGUGCUCUGAGU